rnacentral:rRNA from 1 species
GAUGAACGCUGGCGGCGUGCCUAAUACAUGCAAGUCGAGCGAACGGACGAGAAGCUUGCUUUUCUGAUGUUAGCGGCGGACGGGUGAGUAACACGUGGAUAACCUACCUAUAAGACUGGGAUAACUUCGGGAAACCGGAGCUAAUACCGGAUAAUAUUUUGAACCGCAUGGUUCAAAAGUGAAAGACGGUCUUGCUGUCACUUAUAGAUGGAUCCGCGCUGCAUUAGCUAGUUGGUAAGGUAACGGCUUACCAAGGCAACGAUGCAUAGCCGACCUGAGAGGGUGAUCGGCCACACUGGAACUGAGACACGGUCCAGACUCCUACGGGAGGCAGCAGUAGGGAAUCUUCCGCAAUGGGCGAAAGCCUGACGGAGCAACGCCGCGUGAGUGAUGAAGGUCUUCGGAUCGUAAAACUCUGUUAUUAGGGAAGAACAUAUGUGUAAGUAACUGGGCAAAUCUUGACGGUACCUAAUCAGAAAGCCACGGCUAACUACG